rnacentral:rRNA from 1 species
UACGGGGGGGGCAAGCGUUGUUCGGAAUUACUGGGCGUAAAGGGUUUGUAGGUGGCUCGCUAAGUCAUACGUGAAAUCCCUCAGCUUAACUGGGGAACUGCGUGUGAGACUGGCAAGCUCGAGUGCAGGAGAGGAAUGCGGAAUUCCAGGUGUAGCGGUGAAAUGCGUAGAUAUCUGGAGGAACACCGGUGGCGAAGGCGGCAUUCUGGACUGCAACUGACACUGAAAGAGCGAAAGACCAGGGGAGCAAACGGG